rfam:Paenibacillus pectinilyticus strain KCTC13222 scaffold4, whole genome shotgun sequence.
AGUACAGCGUUGACGGAGCCAAGCAAGUAAAGUAGCUUUCAGAGAGCCGAUGGCAGGUGCGAAUCGGUAGCGAACAUAUUGCGGAGCACUCCAGAGUUAUUGCAUUGAAGCUUAGUAGAUGCAAUCGGAUUAGGAACACGUUACAGUUCCAGGUCGCAAGACCAAAUGAGGCUAUCCAUGCGAAUGGGCAGCGAACUAGGGUGGUACCACGAAAGCAAUCUCUCGUCCCUUUG